UCAGCCAAUGACUACCAGUUACAUUCCCCUUUCCAGAGCCCCUGGUAGAGCUUUUUCUAGGGCAGUGACCUAUCCCUGAGGGUCAAUAGGGUUUUUUAACAGGAAAAUUCAGUGUGCUAGUUUGGUGUGGCACCACAGACAAGAAAAAUGGAGGACUUCACCACGUAGUCUCCGCAGAAUUUCACAUUUCUGCCAUUUGGGCUCAGAGAAACAGCUCAAUCUACAACGAGAAGCCAUGUUUCUCUUGGCAUGCUCACAAGUCUCAAAUCAAACACAAACGGAACACAGAGAUCUCUGAGAAACGAACAAUGUGUGUAUGAGCCUCAGACAACAGAGGAACGGAGAUGUGACUGAAGCCACCUGAGUCUGACCCGUGGACGCAACACUUUGUCCUCUGUCCAUUAAAGGUGCAGUCCGCCUAAUACACUUUCUCCUCUGUCCAUUAAAGGUUCAGUUCGCCUAAUACACUUUCUCCUAUGUCCAUUGAAGGUACAGUCCGCCUAAUACACUUUUUAUCGACACUGCCUAAAGAGUCCUGUAAACACAGUUGCUUGGACAGAGCCAUACAAAUAUUCAGCCUAUCGAUACCUUGUUUCAGAGGCACGGAAGAGAUAUGUGUAAUUUGAUUGGCUGUUGAGCUCAAAUAUCACCAACGUUUCGCGAAAAUCAGAAGCACAGACUCUGUCUUUAAAACACCCUCACUCUGACCCAAGUUAGGACAGCUGGGGUGACGUCACCCGCUGUGACUCUUUCCUAGCACCUCAUUAGGCAGAUGUGGUAAACAGCUUGGGACGCUUCCUCAGGAGGUGUCCACUAGGCGAGUCAUUUGUCUUCUAAAUUCAAAAUGCAAUCAAUGGAAGGGAUAAACAAUUCCUGUCCAGUACUUUUCCAGGAGUUGUGUGCGUAUUGUAACAACAACGGUAAACUUAGUAAAAUAUUGCUAGCAUAUUACCAUACUAAAAUUACAUAUGCCUACCUGUGUGGGUGUGUGUGUGUGUGUGGGUGUGUCUCACCUUGAAGUAGCAGUGUGCAUUGCCAGUGAUACAGAAGGUUAUCAGAUGGAUAGCUGAGAGGGUGAGAGGGUGUGUGUGUGUGUGUGUGUCUAUCUCACCUUGAGUUAUCAGUGUCCACAGCAAUGAUUCAGUGGGUUAUCGGAGGACUGGCCAAGUGUGUGUGUGAGUGUGUGCGCUCAUGUGUGUGUGUGUGUGUGUGUGUGUGUGUACAGAGUAACACAGUGUGAGUGCAGACAGAGUAACACAGUGUGAGUGUAGACAGAGUAACACAGUGUGAGUGUAGAUGGAGUAACACAGUGUGAGUGU
ensembl:lncRNA